rnacentral:rRNA from 1 species
CGUGCGGGAAGAAGGCCUUCGGGUUGUAAACCGCUUUUGGUCGGGAAGAAAGGUUCGUCCUAAUAGGGCGGAUUGUUGACGGUACCGGCAGAAUAAGCACCGGCUAACUACGUAC